rnacentral:lncRNA from 1 species
AAGAACAGAGAAGCAGCAGAGAUGUGGUAUGUGCUUUAAACCCAGAUGACUUUCUGCUGCUCUCCCCACAGUUCCCUCUUUGUCUCCCAGGUUUACCAGCUAGCUUCCCAUUUGCCUUUGAAGUGGGUUUGCAGCCUGCAUGGAAUGAUCCAGCUGUGUCAUGCAAUAAACUGGCCAGCAGAGUGCCAGUGCUGGCUUGCAGAUGGGAUUUUCACUGGAGGAAAUUUGUGGCUCUUUGAGGGGAGAGGAAGUAUCUUUGAAGGCUUUGGAGCUUGAAGUCUGUGUCUGCAAGAGCAAGUCCUGACUAAUGAAACAUGACAUAACCCCAGGUUUCUGAAAGUUAAAACUGGGAAUGACUCACUCCUGUUCUACCCUUGUAAUAUGGCUUUUCCCAUUAUUGAAGUGGCUUCUGUAGCACGAUGUGAGGAAAUGUGUGAAAUGGUGUAACUCUGUGUCACAUGUGGUUAUAGAGCACCAUGUAUGACUUGAAGUGACUUUAUACCAUCCUCUUUCAUUCUUGUUUGUGGAUAUCUCAGAGUCAAAUAUCAG